rnacentral:rRNA from 1 species
UGGGGAAUAUUGCGCAAUGGGCGAAAGCCUGACGCAGCGACGCCGCGUGGGUGAUGAAGGCCUUCGGGUCGUAAAGCCCUGUCUGGUGGAACGAAACGCCUGGCGGCYAAUACCCGCUGGGUUUGACGGUACCACCGAAGGAAGCCCCGGCUAACUACGUGCCAGCAGCCGCGGUAAGACGUAGGGGGCGAGCGUUGUUCGGAUUUACUGGGCGUAAAGCGCGCGUAGGCGGCCAGAUAAGUCGGGUGUGAAAGCCCUCGGCUCAACCGAGGUUCCGCAUCCGAUACUGUUUGGCUGGAGUCUAGGAGAGGAGAGCGGAAUUCCCAGUGUAGCGGUGAAAUGCGUAGAUAUUGGGAGGAACACCCGUGGCGAAGGCGGCUCUCUGGACUAGUACUGACGCUGAGGCGCGAAAGCUAGGGGAGCGAACGGGAUUAGAUACCCCGGUAGUCCUAGCCGUAAACGAUGGGCACUAGGUGUGGGAGGUAUUGACCCCUUCCGCGCCGAAGCUAACGCAUUAAGUGCCCCGCCUGGGGAGUACGGCCGCAAGGCUA